AACACAACUUUCACUUCUAUUUCUCAAAAUUCCCAAAUUUCCCCCCUCCGAUUCCCCAUUUCCGGCGACUCCCGCUGCGUGCUCCCCUCCGGCGACUCGUCCACGCCCGCGCGCCCCUGCUCGCCCCGCCUCGCUCCGUUGCCGCCUUUCGCCGAUCCUCGCCCCGCCCCGCGCCGCUCCGCGCCCUGCACUGCUGCCCGCCCCGCGCCUCGCCGCUGGUCGCCCCGCCUCGCGCCGCUGCCGCCCUGCGCCGCUGCCCAUCCCACGCC
rnacentral:lncRNA from 1 species